rnacentral:rRNA from 1 species
CCUUGAUGUGUAGGAUAGGUGGGAGGCUUUGAAGUGUGGACGCCAGUCUGCAUGGAGCCGACCUUGAAAUACCACCCUUUAAUGUUUGAUGUUCUAACGUUGGCCCGUAAUCCGGGUUGCGGACAGUGUCUGGUGGGUAGUUUGACUGGGGCGGUCUCCUCCUAAAGAGUAACGGAGGAGCACGAAGGUUGGCUAAUCCUGGUCGGACAUCAGGAGGUUAGUGCAAUGGCAUAAGCCAGCUUGACUGCGAGCGUGACGGCGCGAGCAGGUGCGAAAGCAGGUCAUAGUGAUCCGGUGGUUCUGAAUGGAAGGGCCAUCGCUCAACGGAUAAAAGGUACUCCGGGGAUAACAGGCUGAUACCGCCCAAGAGUUCAUAUCGACGGCGGUGUUUGGCACCUCGAUGUCGGCUCAUCACAUCCUGGGGCUGAAGUAGGUCCCAAGGGUAUGGCUGUUCGCCAUUUAAAGUGGUACGCGAGCUGGGUUUAGAACGUCGUGAGACAGUUCGGUCCCUAUCUGCCGUGGGCGCUGGAGAACUGAGGGGGGCUGCUCCUAGUACGAGAGGACCGGAGUGGACGCAUCACUGGUGUUCGGGUUGUCAUGCCAAUGGCACUGCCCGGUAGCUAAAUGCGGAAGAGAUAAGUGCUGAAAGCAUCUAAGCACGAAACUUGCCCCGAGAUG